rnacentral:rRNA from 1 species
GAUGAACGCUGGCGGCGUGCCUAAUACAUGCAAGUCGAGCGAACAGACGAGGAGCUUGCUCCUCUGACGUUAUCGGCGGACGGGUGAGUAACACGUGGAUAACCUACCUAUAAGACUGGGAUAAUUUCGGGAAACCGGAGCUAAUACCGGAUAAUAUAUUGAACAGCAAGGAUCACUCGUGAAAGACGGUUUUGCUGUCACUUAUAGAUUGAUCCGCGCCGCAUUCGUUAGUUGGUAAGGUAACGGCUUACCAAGGCAACGAUGCGUAGCCGACCUGAGAGGGUGAACGGCCACACGGGAACUGAGACACAGUCCAGACUCCUACGGUAGGCAGCAGUAGGGAAUCUUCCGCAAUGGGCGAAAGCCUGACGGAGCAACGCCGCGUGAGUGAUGAAGGUCUUCGGAUCGGAAAACUCUGUUAUUAGGGAAGAACAAAUGUGUAAGUAACUAUGCACGUCUUGACGGUACCUAAUCAGAAAGCCACGGCUAACUACGUG